rnacentral:lncRNA from 1 species
AAACUUUUUUUAUUGCAAAUUUUGAACAUUAUUCCCAUAAAUACAUUCCUAUAAAUACAUCGCUCAGAAUAACAGAGGGUUUUGCUCUAAACCAAGAGAGGGUUUUGCGUCUCUUGCAACAAACAAGCUCUAGUUUUCUUUUGCUGGAGAAAAUCCAUGGCCGAUGAUACAGAUUCUGACUCUGGAAUUGGGGUAAUACGAAGAAUUGCAGAGCAAAAAGAUUUAGUUCCACAAAUACAACAAGAACCCUCCACUUAUCUCUCCAUGCCAAAGCAAGAUUCAGGAGAAUCAUCUGAUACUGUUCUCAUUCCGAAUGAUGAGCAGGAAUCUGUGGACUUCAGUCUCAAGAAGAAGGUCAAGUGUUCAUUUCAUGAGUGUCAGCCCGAUAUCCGGGAUAACCAACAACUAGGUAUUGAUCAUGAUGUGGGUAGUCUAUCCGCA